CACGUAGGGGGCGAGCGUUGUCCGGAUUUAUUGGGCGUAAAGAGCUCGUAGGCGGUUCGCUAAGUCGGGUGUGAAACCUCCAGGCUCAACCUGGAGACGCCACCUGAUACUGGCGUGACUAGAGUCCGGUAGGGGAGUGUGGAACUCCUGGUGUAGCGGUGAAAUGCGCAGAUAUCAGGAAGAACACCAGUGGCGAAGGCGGCCUGCUGGGCAGUUACUGACACUGAGGCGCGAAAGCGUGGGGAGCAAUCAGG
rnacentral:rRNA from 1 species